AAAAAAGUAAACAUUUAAGAUUAAGUAGAUAAUAAUAUAAUAAAAAAUAAUAAAAGAAUAUAAAAAUAAAUAUAAUAAAAUAAUAUAGAAAUAAUUUUGUAUAAAAAUAAAAAUAAAAUAAAACAAAAUAAAUAAAUAAUUAUUAAACAUGGAGCCACCGGAAGUAGGAACAGGAGGAAAGCUUGGCCAAGCAAACAGCAGUGAACGGCAGCAACGUUGUCCUGGUACACCAGCAGCCAAGUAAAGAGCGGAUAAUUUUGAUAUGCCAAAUUGUGUAUGUGAAUUUAUAUGCCAAAUAUCAUGUAUAAACCACAAUAAGCCUAAAUUUGUGUAUGUGAGUUUUGCAAAAAUAAUUAGUGGGAUGUUUUGUAUGUACUAGAAAAAAAAGAAAAGUGAAAUAAAAUAAAAUAAAAUAAAUAAAAAACCAAAGGGUGUAUGUAAAUUUUGACUGCUUUGUGCUAGCCUACCGUAGUUGCAGGACUUUAGAGUGCUAGUACACUGGAACACUUAUCCGCAGGAAGACAGUGCCCCACGCUAAUUAAAACUGGAUUAGCGCAAACCAGAUCUUGCGAAGUACCAUUUUUUUAAGUCUUAGAUUUGACUUGCGGCUUAAUGACAUGGAAAAUUUAUAUAAUGACCAAAAGUAGAAACAAAAAUAAUUUGGGGUGCCGCGAAUUUGGAAAAAAAAAGCCAAAGGUUAUCGUGCGUUCUUGUUUAGUUAGCAUAAUUUCAAUAGUUUAAUUAACUUAUCCCUACAUUCAUUUUAUCUAAUUUUAAAUAUGUUAAAUUAUUUCAAAGGAUUAUUUUUUUAUUAUUAUUAUUAUUAUUAUUUUUUUAAAUCAUAUUUAAUUUGGAUUUUAUUUGUCUUAAAGAUUUAAUUUUUACUGCCGGUUAUGGCCUGACUCCAUUUCUGAGUCACUGACCCGGAUAACUCUUGCAG
rnacentral:lncRNA from 1 species